rnacentral:lncRNA from 1 species
UAAUCCUAAGUUUUAAAUAAAAUAAAAAGAAAGUUUGAUUCAAGUCUAGGUAAUUGACAAACAUGAUAUGAGAAGGUCUGAGCUACUAUUUAACUUGUUCCAAGUUUUGCUAGAGUUCUGGAGAUUUUAUCUUUUGAAAAUCUAAAAAUUCAUAAAAAAUAAUAAUAAUAAAAUAAAUAUGAGAUCAUAAUACCUAGAGUCUUAUAAGAUAUGAAUAUUAAAACUAUGGGCACUUGCUUUGUUCAAGCCAUUGUUAAUUCUUGUAGUUUUGGUUGAGAGAAUUAUCAUGCUCCCAAGAUCAAGAUCUUUUUGUUUUAAAAAUAUAAAAGAUUCACUCUUCCAAAGUAUUAUUGCAUUAGAGGCAUGGGACUAUGCAAAAAUUUGAUUCAAAAAAAAAGAGUGAGACGAGAGGUAAAAAUGGACAAGUGUCCGAAGUAGAAUUAGGGGUACAAAGAUACCCACCUGAGUGGAAAAAAUGGACAUGUGUCCGACAGUAGAAUUAGGGGUACUUGCUGCCCACUUAAAAAAAAGAGAGAAAAAAAAACAAAAAAAAUGAUGAUAGCCCAUGGUCCCUCUAAUAAGCAAUAUGCCAGUAAGAGAUGACAAACUUCUCAAAAAGGUCAAAGGUCUUGAUCUAGGAGUAUGACAUUCCUCUCCCUUACUUCGAGCGUUGACAUAGCAAAAUGCAAAGUAAGUAUGCUAAAACUUUUAAAGCUCUACUUAUAUAUAUCUUUCGAGAAGAAGGAAAAUGCCUCGGUUUUAUUUUGCAGACUUAUAAAAAAAACUCCAGAGCAAAGGUAAGACAGAAGAAUUUGAGACAUAGUGCUUGACUUGAUUGUUCUAUUUUUCAAUCACUUAAGACCUUAGUGAUAACUUAAAAACCCUGUAGUAAGAGGCAUAAAAGUAAUCCAUGUUUUCUUGCUAAUUUUAGCUUUGCUCAGGGACGAGCAAAGGUUAAGCUUGGGGGAGCUUGUUGACGGUUCUUAAUGCUCACAUUUAACCAUCAACUAAUCAUGAAAAAGGAUCCAAAUGCAACCAACACCUAGAUUUAGGGUUUUAUCUGACAGAAUUCCACGAGUUUUGGUGUUUGUCUAUUUCUGCAGGGGGUUAUCAGGAAAUACGGAAGAAAGGCCCACACGUCGGGUUUACAUAGAGAUAUUAACGUGGCGCGCAAUAUUCUAUCAUCUAGAAGACUCCAGAAGCCACGGGACCGAAGCGGAGGCCGAGAGGGCUCAGGCACAGGGCGCCCGCCCUAGUCCCUUGGGCGCCCGCCCUCCCCCCUGGACCAAUCAGGGUGAAGUUCGGGGAUCAUGCUCCACCGACCUAAUACUUCAAGGAAAACCACACGAUCAAUGUCGGUUUGAUCCGACGGCCCAGAUUCACUUGAAGGGACUAUAAAACCAGACCCCCUGGCCCCUGGAGAUCAUACCUCUUCUACAGAAUCAAAGCUAGGGUUUCAAUUCUUCAUCCAAGUAGAGAGGAUCCCUCUAGUUCUUCUAGUUCUACCUAUAGUUCAUCUAGAUCUAGUUCUAGUUCAUCUAGUUCUAGUUCUAGUUCCUCUAGUUCUAGUUCUAGUUAGUUCUAGUUGUAAUCUAGAAAAUAGGGAGAGAGAAGAGGAGAGCCGAGGAGGAGCCGGAUCUGUCGGAUCUUCCUCAACAUUGUACUUUUGUAGCAACUGGUUCGUUCUUCAUCGUUCUCCAGGUUCUUCAAUUCAUAAUCCUGAGUUCUUUAAUUACUUUUAUUUGCAUUCAAGUUAUUUAUUGGAUUCCCGCUUGCAUCAAGUGCUCUAAUCUUUGCAACACUAGAGUAGUAAUUAAUAGAUUAGACGUGGUGUUUAGUCUUGUAAUUACCUGGAAUUGCACCCAAUCCUGCGGAUUGUUGUGGUAGCCUUAGGGUAGUGACAGCCCUAACGGUCGACGUAUUCCACCACGUUCGGAUCGGUGUCUGUAGGACCGUAGUCAGACCUUCCUAGCCCCCUUCUCAUCUCUUUCUGUGGUUAGUGCUCUGAUGUCCCGAAAUAGAUAAUCUUGAAGUAAUUCUUGAUUCUUAGAUCAAUUAGAGAACUCUCAGGAAACUUCCUCUCUUCCCACCAAAAAUAAUUAUAUAGUUAUCCAUGGGCGAUCUUGGAUCUUAAUUAGUACACUCACGUUCCCUGUGGAAAAUCGAUACUCUAGAAUACUCCCGGGUGAAAGCUACAUCGGUAUCCGUGCGCUUGCGGAUUUUUCUGUUUGCGUUUAAAAUACCCAACACUCGCCCUUUGGAGCAAAGAAUUUAUAGAUAGGAGUGAAAUUCCUCUUCCAAUGUUGGAGCUUGCUCCUCUGAAGAGCUAGCUUGAGCAGCAGAUGGUGUUCUUGAUGGUGAUUCGAAUUUGUCCCUUGCUUCUACAAACUUCUUCUUCCUAAGUAGUUUCUCUGGUUCUUUAGUAAAGUUUCUUGGAAGAGCAAAACCAUCCACUCAUCACCCCGCAUAAGAUAAGAAAAUGAUAACGACGAAGGGUGUACCUGAUUGAGUUAGAAAUUGAUUGGUAAUAUGGCUUUAUCCAUGCGUAUAUAGGUUAUCAAUAUAUCCUAAGUUUAUUGUGCCUUCCUCGGCAACGGCGCCAAAAAUGUUUGUUGAUAUUUACUACUGUCAUUACUAAAAAUAGAGAUAAACCCUAUCUCUAGCAACAACACCAGAAAUGCAUAGUAUAUAAUUAACUUGUCAAUUAACAACUAACCACCCUCAUAUUCCUUAGCAUGAAAUAGGUUGUCAUCCCUAAAUAUGGCUCAACCCUAAUUAACUUGUCUAGGCUUCAAUAUAAGUAAACACAUGAUGAGCUUCCCAUAAAUGACUACCUAAGGGAUGACACCCUACUUAAGAUAACACAUGCAGAUCCAUGGUACGCAGACAUCGUAAACUUUAUAGUAAAAGGCUAUGUCCCACCUGGUGCAAACAAAAGGAAGUUGCUUCACGAUAGUCGUUUCCACCUGUGGGAUGAGCCAUAUCUUUUCCGAGUCUGCGCUGAUGGACUCUUGAGAAGGUGUGUUCCUAUGGCUGAGGCUACUCAAAUUAUGGAAAGAUGCCAUGCCUCGCCAUAUGGGGGACACUACGGAGCAUUCCGGACACAUGCUAAAAUCUGGCAAAGUGGUUUUUUCUGGCCAACAAUGUAUCAAGAUACAAAGGACUUUGUCAGGAGAUGCCACCGGUGUCAAAAACAUGGGAAUAUUAACUCACGAAAUGAAAUGCCUCUCACAAAUAAUCUUCAAGUAGAACUUUUCGAUGUAUGGGGCAUUGAUUUCAUGGGGUCAUUCCCUAUGUCCGGGAAUUGUGAAUAUAUCUUAGUAGCCAUGGACUACGUGUCCAAAUGGGUAGAAGCCUUACCUUGUCGAUCAGCUGAUUCAAAACAUGCCAAGAGAAUGUUCCAUGAAGUAAUCUUUCCUCGCUUUGGUAUACCCCGGAUAGUUAUAAGCGAUGGAGGUUCCCACUUCAUCGACAAAAUCUUCCGGAAGUACCUAGCCGAUCAUGGAGUUCGACACAACGUCGCAACACCAUACCAUCCUCAGACUAGCGGUCAAGCCGAAACAUCUAACAAACAAAUCAAAAAUAUUUUACAAAAGACCGUAGAUGAGAUGGGUAAGGGGUGGAAGGACAAACUUCCUGAUGCACUUUGGGCAUAUAGAACUGCAUUCAAAACACCCAUAGGCAUGUCACCUUAUCAACUUGUAUAUGGAAAAACUUGUCAUUUGCCUGUGGAAGUAGAAUUUAAGGCUCAUUGGGCACUCAAGAAAUGGAACAUGGAUCUCCAUCUCGCUAGCGAGAAUCGUCUGAUGCAACUAUCUGAGUUAGAAGAAUGGAGAGAGAAAGCCUACCACAAUUCAAGGAUCUAUAAAGAGAGAACAAAACGAUGGCAUGAUAAGAGAAUCAAGCACAAGGAGUUUAAGCCUGGAGAUAAGGUUCUACUAUUCAAUUCAAGAGUUAAGCUCUUUGGUCAUGGUAAGCUACGAAGUAAGUGGGUUGGACCAUACAAGGUUAUUGACACUUCAACUCAUGGAGCUAUUACCAUCCAAGAUGACAUAGGUAACACUUUUAAGGUAAAUGGUCAACGCUUGAAAAUCUAUCUCGAGCCACAAAACAACCUGGUAGAGGAACUUGAUGAGAUUGAGUUCAUAGAAUUCUCAUAUUAAGCUCUCAUAAGCUCUAGACAAUUACCUAACCCUUAACAUGUUCCACAAGUUUUGUUGUCUAUUUGGGUUGCGCAGGAUUUUGAGGCUUAAGAAGAGUGAGACCAAACAUGCAGGCUACAAGAGUGAACGACUAUGUCAACAUCCAGCUUGGGGGAGGCACCCCCACGUGUAUUUAGAUAAGUAUUACUUUUCUUUCUUGGUUUUAUUUACUAGUAUUCAGAAAUAAAAAAAUGCAUAACCAUGAAACCAAACAAAGUUUUUCUUUUAAGUAAUAUACAAUAGUUUUGUGUAAUCCUAAGUUUUAAAUAAAAUAAAAAGAAAGUUUGAUUCAAGUCUAGGUAAUUGACAAACAUGAUAUGAGAAGGUCUGAGCUACUAUUUAACUUGAUCCAAGUUUUGCUAGAGUUCUGGAGAUUUUAUCUUUUGAAAAUCUAAAAAUUCAUAAAAAAUAAUAAUAAUAAAAUAAAUAUGAGAUCAUAAUACCUAGAGUCUUAUAAGAUAUGAAUAUUAAAACUAUGGGCACUUGCUUUGUUCAAGCCAUUGUUAAUUCUUGUAGUUUUGGUUGAGAGAAUUAUCAUGCUCCCAAGAUCAAGAUCUUUUUGUUUUAAAAAUAUAAAAGAUUCACUCUUCCGAAGUAUUAUUGCAUUAGAGGCAUGGGACUAUGCAAAAAUUUGAUUCGAAAAAAAAGAGUGAGACGAGAGGUAAAAAUGGACAAGUGUCCGAAGUAGAAUUAGGGGUACAAAGAUACCCACCUGAGUGGAAAAAAUGGACAUGUGUCCGACAGUAGAAUUAGGGGUACUUGCUGCCCACUUAAAAAAAAGAGAGAAAAAAAAACAAAAAAAAUGAUGAUAGCCCAUGGUCCCUCUAAUAAGCAAUAUGCCAGUAAGAGAUGACAAACUUCUCAAAAAGGUCAAAGGUCUUGAUCUAGGAGUAUGACAUUCCUCUCCCUUACUUCGAGCGUUGACAUAGCAAAAUGCAAAGUAAGUAUGCUAAAACUUUUAAAGCUCUACUUAUAUAUAUCUUUCGAGAAGAAGGAAAAUGCCUCGGUUUUAUUUUGCAGACUUAUAAAAAAAAAACUCCAGAGCAAAGGUAAGACAGAAGAACUUGAGACAUAGUGCUUGACUUGAUUGUUCUAUUUUUCAAUCACUUAAGACCUUAGUGAUAACUUAAAAACCCUGUAGUAAGAGGCAUAAAAGUAAUCCAUGUUUUCUUGCUAAUUUUAGCUUUGCUCAGGGACGAGCAAAGGUUAAGCUUGGGGGAGCUUGUUGACGGUUCUUAAUGCUCACAUUUAACCAUCAACUAAUCAUGAAAAAGGAUCCAAAUGCAACCAACACCUAGAUUUAGGGUUUUAUCUGACAGAAUUCCACGAGUUUUGGUGUUUGUCUAUUUCUGCAGGGGGUUAUCAGGAAAUACGGAAGAAAGGCCCACACGUCGGGUUUACAUAGAGAUAUUAACGU